GUGAAUCAUCAAAUCUUUGAACGCAAAUUGCACUCUCUUCGGAGAGUAUGCCUGUUUGAGGGUCAGUAUUAAUAAACAUCGGAGUGUUGCUUCUUUGUGACGCUCCGGAGUUUGGGUCAUCUUAAUAUUCUAUAGGCUUUAAGAGGCUUCAACUUGACUUUUUUUGCGCAUUUUAGAAGUACAUAUAUUCUUUUUUUUAUUCGUAAGUAA
rnacentral:misc_RNA from 1 species